UACAGAGGGGGCAAGCGUUGUUCGGAAUUACUGGGCGUAAAGGGCGCGUAGGCGGCCUGCUAAGUCGAACGUGAAAUCCCCGGGCUCAACCCGGGAACUGCGUCCGAUACUGGUUGGCUUGAAUCCGGGAGAGGGAUGCGGAAUUCCAGGUGUAGCGGUGAAAUGCGUAGAUAUCUGGAGGAACACCAGAGGCGAAGGCGGCGACCUGGACAAGUACUGACACUCAACUGCGAAAGCGUGGGGAGCAAACAGG
rnacentral:rRNA from 1 species